GUUGCACUUGCUUAUUAGUUCUAAGACAACUGUUUUGUUUUGUUUUUCAAUUUCUUGGGAUUUUCCACAGAGACAAUCAUGUCAUCUGCAGAUGCAGUUUUUUCCUUCCCUUCCAAUUUGUAUGUCUUUUAUUUCCUUGUUAAGAAACCAUUAUUGCCCUGACUAGAACUUUCUGUACUAUGUUAAACACAAGUGGUGAGAGUGGACAUCCUUGCCUUGUCCCUGGUAUUAAGGAGAAAGUGUUUGUAACUGAGUAUCCCAGCCUCAAAAUGUCCUUUAAAACUUUUUUUCCUUUCUUGCUUUCAGCCUUGAAACAUACUUUGUUUCUCUCUUUCCCACCAGGCACUUCCCUAAGCAGUGCUGCUUAUCUAAUUCUGUGCUUACUUAGAAAUUCCAGGGGCCAAUUUUGAAACAAACCAGGCAGAGACCCAGCUGUAGAAUCCUCCCACUUGGAGGAGUUACAGGUAGCCCACCUUCCAGGCUGAAGUCAGGAUGACGCCAAGCAGACCUGGGGACAGGCGAGAGAUGACUCAGGACCAUCAGAACAGGAUGCAGCCCAACAGGCAUCACCGUCAGAAGGAACACGGCCAUCCAGAGAAACACACCAGGCCACAAAGCACUGGGGACCAGGGAUCGCGCCCCUCCCAUCCUGCCAGGGCUGACCCCCAGCCUCCAACCCUACCAUCUCCUGACGGCAUCUGCACCGCUGGAACCCAACCGGAAUCUAAAAGAACACAGUUGGCAGACGAGACUGGGACACAGGCAUUUUCUUCAAGGAUUGAGCCAGCAGCGCCAGUGUCGUAAGGUGCUUAGGUGAUUCACAAACAACCAGUGAAAUACAAGGUGCCUGGGAUACCGUCAACAAAAACAGGAAACAGACACAUCUUCCUGCUGAUGUAGAGACUCCAGCCUGUCUGCCUGGUCUCUGGUCCUGAAGAGCCCAGGCCCCACCCUUUCCUGCCCGGGGGCAUGGGAGCGCAUG